AGAGUUUGAUCAUGGCUCAGGAUGAACGCUGGCGGCGUGCCUAAUACAUGCAAGUCGAGCGAACAGAUGAGAAGCUUGCUUCUCUGAUGUUAGCGGCGGACGGGUGAGUAACACGUGGGUAACCUACCUAUAAGACUGGGAUAACUCCGGGAAACCGGGGCUAAUACCGGAUAAUAUUUUGAACCGCAUGGUUCAAUAGUGAAAGACGGUUUCGGCUGUCACUUAUAGAUGGACCCGCGCCGUAUUAGCUAGUUGGUAAGGUAACGGCUUACCAAGGCGACGAUACGUAGCCGACCUGAGAGGGUGAUCGGCCACACUGGAACUGAGACACGGUCCAGACUCCUACGGGAGGCAGCAGUAGGGAAUCUUCCGCAAUGGGCGAAAGCCUGACGGAGCAACGCCGCGUGAGUGAUGAAGGUCUUCGGAUCGUAAAACUCUGUUGUUAGGGAAGAACAAAUUUGUUAGUAACUGAACAAGUCUUGACGGUACCUAACCAGAAAGCCACGGCUAACUACGUGCCAGCAGCCGCGGUAAUACGUAGGUGGCAAGCGUUAUCCGGAAUUAUUGGGCGUAAAGCGCGCGUAGGCGGUUUCUUAAGUCUGAUGUGAAAGCCCACGGCUCAACCGUGGAGGGUCAUUGGAAACUGGGAAACUUGAGUGCAGAAGAGGAGAGUGGAAUUCCAUGUGUAGCGGUGAAAUGCGCAGAGAUAUGGAGGAACACCAGUGGCGAAGGCGGCUCUC
rnacentral:rRNA from 1 species